UACGGAGGGUGCGAGCGUUGUCCGGAAUCAUUGGGCGUAAAGGGCGCGUAGGUGGCGGGACAAGCGUGCGGUGAAAGCUCGGGGCUCAACCCCGCGUCGGCCGUGCGAACUGUUUUGCUGGAGCACUGUAGAGGCAGGCGGAAUUCCAGGUGUAGCGGUGAAAUGCGUAGAUAUCUGGAGGAAUACCGGUGGCGAAGGCGGCAUCCUGGACCGAGAUUGACGCUGAACGGCGAAAGCUAGGGGAGCAAACGGG
rnacentral:rRNA from 1 species